UGGUGAGCCAUCUGCAAUACAAACGCU
rnacentral:piRNA from 1 species